rnacentral:rRNA from 1 species
AUGCACGCUGGCGGCGUGCCUCAUCCAUGCAAGUCGCGCGAACGGACGAGAAGCUUGCUUCUCUGAUGUUAGCGGCGGCCGGGUGAGUAACACGUGGAUAACCUACCUAUAAGACUGGGAUAACUUCGGGAAACCGGAGCUAAUACCGGAUGAUAUUUUGAACCGCAUGGUUCAAAAGUGAAAGACGGUCUUGCUGUCACUUAUAGAUGGAUCCGCGCUGCAUUAGCUAGUUGGUAAGGUAACGGCUUACCAAGGCAACGAUGCAUAGCCGACCUGAGAGGGUGAUCGGCCACACUGGAACUGAGACACGGUCCAGACUCCUACGGGAGGCAGCAGUAGGGAAUCUUCCGCAAUGGGCGAAAGCCUGACGGAGCAACGCCGCGUGAGUGAUGAAGGUCUUCGGAUCGUAAAACUCUGUUAUUAGGGAAGAACAUAUGUGUAAGUAACUGUGCACAUCUUGACGGUACCUAAUCAGAAAGCCACGGCUAACUACGUG